UACGGGGGGGGCAAGCGUUGUUCGGAAUUACUGGGCGUAAAGGGCUCGUAGGCGGCCAACUAAGUCAGACGUGAAAUCCCUCGGCUUAACCGGGGAACUGCAUCUGAUACUGGAUGGCUUGAGUUCGGGAGAGGGAUGCGGAAUUCCAGGUGUAGCGGUGGAAUGCGCAGAUAUCCGGAGGAACACCGGUGGCGAAGGCGGCUUCCUGGACCGACACUGACGCUGAGGCGCGAAAGCUAGGGGAGCAAACAGG
rnacentral:rRNA from 1 species